AUACGUAGGGUGCGAGCGUUGUCCGGAAUUACUGGGCGUAAAGAGCUCGUAGGCGGUUUGUCGCGUCGUCUGUGAAAUUCCGGGGCUUAACUCCGGGCGUGCAGGCGAUACGGGCAUAACUUGAGUACUGUAGGGGAGACUGGAAUUCCUGGUGUAGCGGUGAAAUGCGCAGAUAUCAGGAGGAACACCGGUGGCGAAGGCGGGUCUCUGGGCAGUAACUGACGCUGAGGAGCGAAAGCAUGGGUAGCGAACAGGAUUAGAUACCCUGGUAGUCCAUGCCGUAAACGGUGGGCGCUAGGUGUAGGGGUCUUCCACGACUUCUGUGCCGUAGCUAACGCAUUAAGCGCCCCGCCUGGGGAGUACGGCCGCAAGGCUAAAACUCAAAUGAAUGGACGGGG
rnacentral:rRNA from 1 species